rnacentral:lncRNA from 10 species
CUCAUGACUGUAAUCUCAGCACUUUGGGAGGCUGAGGCGGGUGGAUUACGAGGUCAGGAGUUCGAGACCAGCCUGACCAACAUGGUGAAACCCUGUCUCUACUGAAAAUACAAAAAAAAUUAGCCUGGCGUGGUGGUGCGUGCCUGUAAUCCCAGCCACUCAGGAGGCUGAGGCAAGAGAAUCGCUUGAACCAGGGAGGUGGAGGUUGCAGUGAGCUGAGAUCACACCACUGCACUCCAGCCUGUGCAAGAGAGCAAGACUCCAUCUCAAAAAAGAAAAAAUAGAAAUAAAAAAUUAUUAGCUCUGUCAUUAGAAAAGUAUAACAGGCCAGGCACAGUGGCUCACUCCUGUAAUCCCAGUAUUUUGCAGGGCAGAGGCAGGAGGAUCAUGCGAGGCCAGGAAUUCAAGACCAGCCUGAGCAACGAAACGAGACCCUGUCUCUAUAAAAAUAAAUAAAGUAAGUAAUAAAUUAAAAUGUAUAUUUAAAAAGAGAAAAAGAAAGAAAAAGAAAACUACAGAGAAAUAGCCUGUCUAUUGCCAUAGUCUUAUGAAUAUAGCAAACAAACUGACGUUUUCUAUUUGACCUUAAUUCUUUUAAAAUAGACUUCUUACCAUAUAGUUCUAAUUCUUAAUAUAAAAUUCUGGUCGUGGCCAGGGGCGGUGGCUCACACCUGUAAUCCCAACACUUUGGGAGGCCAAGGCGGGAGGAUCACUUGAGGUCAGGAGUUUGAAACCAGCCUGGCCAACAUGGUGAAACUCCAUCUCUACUAAAUAUACGAAAAUUAGCCGGGCCUGGUGGCACAGGCUUGUAAUUCUAGUUGCUCAGUAAGCUGAGGCAGGAGAGUGGCUUGAACCUGGGAGGCGGAGGGGUCAGUGAGCCGAAAUAGCACCAUUGCACUCCAGCCUGGGUGACAAGAGCUAGAUUCCUUCUCAAAAAAAAAAAAAAAAAUCUGGUUGUUGCUUCCUACUAUAUGCAAAUGCAUAUAUUGCCAAGUUUCUUAUUUUAAAAACACUAUAUAAACACUGAGCAUUUUUUAAAAUGUUAACUCCUCUUGGAACUGACAACACCAUAUAAAUUCUCAUUUAUAAAUUAAUCAAAAACACCAACAGCACUCACAGACAACAAAAUAUUUGUGUUGACUGGUAUCAGAAGACUGCAUCAACAGAAAUUCACAAAGCCACAUUUUAAUUAGCCACCACAUUGCUAAACUUCAGCCAAUUCAAUUAGGCAAAAAUCUGGGACUGUAACAGAUUCAUAUACCUUUAAAGUCUUCUUCUCUGUUUAAUGCCACAGCAGUGGAAUCUCCAUUAAUGAUGUCCAAGAAGAAGUCUGCAGGGUUAUUAUAGGCCUCACAGUGAUAACCUAUGAAAGAAGGCAGCUCAAAAACACAAACUUGAUGGUCUUGGAAAACAAAGAGAACUCACUUUCAGAGGGUGAGGGAGGUAAGGCUAGAGAAGACAGAAUCUAAUGACUUUUCCUUAACUUUCUUUCUCUCUUCUUCCCACGUAAUUUUACCCUUUCUUUUUAUAUAUUCAGUCUCUCUCUCUCUCUCUCUCUCUCUAUAUAUAUAUAUAUAUAUAUAUAUAUAAUUUAUUUAUUUAUUUUGAGACAGGGUCUCCCUCUGUCACCCAGGCUGGAAUGUGGUGGGGCAAUCUUGGUUCACUGAAACCUCUGCCUCCCGAGUUCAAGUGAUUCUCCUGCCUCAGCCUCCCAAGUAGCUGGGAUUAGAAGCACGCAUGACCACGUCCAGCUAAUUUUUGUAUUUUCAGUAGAGACACAGCUUUGCCAUGUCGGCCAGGCUGGUCUCGAACUCCUGGCCUCAAGUGAUCCACCCGCCUCGGCCUCCCAAAGUGCUGGGAUUACAGGCAUGAGCUACUGUUCCCAGCCUAUCACACAAUAUUUCGGCAAUUCUUUGUCUCUGGGCCAAAAAAAAAAAAAAAAAGAAAGAAAAGAAAACACUCCAAGCCAACCUUGGAUUUGCAGGGCAUUUUGCAUUAGUGCUUGGUCCUUACCUAUCAUAAUUCAUGAGACCUGAAAUAGCUAUCAGUAUGCUCUGGUGCUUAACAGUACUUCCUCAAAAAUCUAAAUAUAGACCCAAGAAAAAAAUCCAAAAGCCCAGGUGUGUUCUGCUCUCUGAGUUCACCGACAGAAUGCCAGAAUGAUAGAACCCACAUUAGCAAUGACUACUUCCCCACAUACUAAAUUCAGAGGUCCAGCGCUGGGUGCAAUGGCUCACAUCUGUAAUACUAGCACUUCGGGAGGCCGAGACCAGCAAACCACUUGAGCCCAGGACUUCCAGACCAACCUAGCCAACAUGGCAAAACCCCAUCUCUACUAAAAACACAAAAAUUAGCCAGGUGCAUUGGCUUAUGACUAUAAUCCCAGCUACUAAGGAGGCUGAGGCACAAGAAUUGCUUGAACCUGGGAGGUGGAGGUUGCAGUGAGCUCUGAAAGCACCACUGCACUCUAGCCUGGGCGACAGAGUGAGACUCUGUCUCAAAGGUAAAUUAAUUAAUUAAUUAAUUCAGAAAUCCAAAUCAACUGCUGUGCUGCUGUAAUUCCAAAUAGAGAACAAAUCCCCUGAGCAGUAUUCUCGAUAGAACAUGGCCAGCACAGCACACCUGAACCAUUCAGCUUUGGAUGAUGAGAUCAUCUGAACUCAGCGUGGCCUGAAGUCUGACUCUUAGUUCAUCCCCUUUAUUAAAACCUAAUUAAGAAACAUGGCCAAUGAAUAUCUAAAAUUAUAUUUAGGAUCAUAGGGAAUCAUUUGUAAUCAUAUCCAAAUAUAUCUAAAAUGAUGCAGACCGCACAAGCCAUUAAAAAAAAUCACACAUUUCUAUCUAAAAUUUUAAAAAUCACACAUUUCAAUUUGAAAUAAAAAGAACCAUGCUGUCCAAGAUUGUUAGAAAUUUUGGCCCAUCUAAGUCAGGUUUAGGACUAACCACUCUAUUGACCGAUACCCACUCAAGGGCUAAAGCUGCAAUCUAUAGUUACCAGAAAAUUAAGUAGUGUCUGCCGGUCACAGUGGCUCACACCUGUAAUCCCAACACUUUGGGAGGCCACAGCAGAUUGCUUUAGCUCAGGAGUUUGAGACCAUCCUGGGCAACAUGGCAAGACCCCGACUCUACAAAAAAUACAAAAAUUAGAUAGCCAUGGUGGCAUGUGUCUAUAGUCCCAGCUGCUUGGGUGAGGUGGGAGGAUGGCUUGAGCGCGGGGGGUUGAGGCUGCAGUGAGUCAAGAUUGUGCCACUGCACUCCAGCCUGGGUGACACAGUGAGAUCCUAUCUCAAAAGAAAAAAAAAAAACCUUAAAUAAAAUUUGCUGGGUGCAGUGGCUCACACCUAUAAUCCCAGCACGUUGGGAGGCCGAGGUGGCAGAUCACAAGGUCAGGAGAUCAAGACCAUCCUCCUGGCUAACAGGGUGAAACCCUGUCUCUACUAAAAAAAUACAAAAAAAUUAGCCGGGCAUGGUUGUGGGCGCCUGCAGUCCCAGCUACUCAGGAGGCUGAGGCAGGAGAAUGGUGUGAACCCGAGAGGCAGAGCUUGCAGUGAGCCAAGAUCACGUCACUGCACUCCAGCCUGGGCAAUAGAGCAAGACUCCAUCUCAAAAAUAAAAAUAAACAAAAUUAAGUAGCAUUUCCAUGAGUGCUCAUCAAGGCAGACCAACAUGUGCAAGGGGAAAAAAUUUUAAGGCCUCAUCUGUUAUAUGGUCAAGAAGACAAUCAUAUUAGGCCUUCCCAAAAAUGUUCAAGUGACAGAAUAAAUGGCUAUAAGGCCAACAUAUUAAUUACUGAGCUUUUAAGAAAUGGUCACUGUAACUAGGAAGCAGAAUAUAGGCCCAGUAGAAAUACACACAUGCAUGCACAUUGAAAUAAGACAAGAAAGAUACCUAAAUAACAAGCUGGUGCUACAAAAAUGAAGAAAAAUACUAGCACCAAAUGGAACAAACACAUUUUGAAGUGAUAGAUUCUCAUGGUAUGUCUACCCAAAGACCAAACAGCACUCCUGCAGACCCCCUUUGCUCUCCUUCAGGAUUCUAUUAAUGAAGCAUUUUACAGCAUA